GAAGUCUGCAGUGAGGCACAUUGUUCUUCACCCAGGAAUGUUUGGAAGAAAAUCAAACACAAGCCCAGCCUUUCCAGUGUCUGUGAGCAUCUAGCUAAUUUCAGUCACAAAGGCACCUACCUGUCUCCGUUGUCCAGGUUCUGAAAAGCCUCAGCUCACGUUGUACCCACCGGCCUUCUUGGCCCUGAGAGCAGACGGUGUGAAUGACCUGCCUUGGUCCUCCCCCGCUGACAUGGGAACGUAGGCAGCUGUGAUCUCAGAACACACAGCACCGGCAGGCAUUUCACUGUAAGAGGAACCACCUCAGAAGAUAAAAACAACCUGUGAGUGAGCAACGCUUCUGGUCUACUGAGGACGUUUAAGAGGGCACUGAUGACAAUGAGACCAGUCUGCUCCUGGCAGCACCUUCAUUAUGCUUCAGAGAAGAUGAUGAGCAUUGAAAAACCUCCAUAUGGAGUUUGCUUCAACUGUGGCAAGCUAACCACCGGGCAAGAAACUGAUGCUUUGCCACACUGGACAAACAAGAUGCAGCAAAGUCGACUGCCGAGCUUUGCCAAAACAGGGUUCUCAGAAAAGAAAAGAAGAAGGGAAACUUCAGUGAGACCAUUAGAACGCACAGACAAGCAAAUAAACAAAAGCG
rnacentral:lncRNA from 1 species